CUCUCUCUCUCUCUCAUGGCUAGUGUCCUUGCUGUCUCUCUCUCUCAGGCUACUGCCCUUGCUGUCUCUCUCUCUCAUGGCCAUGUCCUUGCUGUCUCUCUCUCUCAUGGCUAGUGUCCUUGCUGUCUCUCUCUCAUGGCUAGUGUCCUUGCUGUCUCUCUCUCUCAGGCUAGUUCCCUUGCUGUCUCUCUCUCUCUCAGGCUAGUGUCCUUGCUGUCUCUCUCUCUCUCUCAUGGCUAGUGUCCUUGCUGUCUCUCUCUCAUGGCUAGUGCCCUUGCUGUCUCUCUCUCUCAGGCUAGUGUCCUUGCUGUCUCUCUCUCUCAUGGCCAGUGUCCUUGCUGUCUCUCUCUCUCAGGCUACUGCCCUUGCUGUCUCUCUCUCUCAUGGCUAGUGCCCUUGCUGUCUCUCUCGUGGCUAGUGCCCUUGCUGUCUCUCUCUCUCUCUCAUGCUAGUGCCCUUGCUGUCUCUCUCUCUCAGGCUACUGCCCUUGCUGUCUCUCUCUCUCAUGGCUAGUGCCCUUGCUGUCUCUCUCUCUCUCUCAUGGCU
ensembl:lncRNA